UACGAAGGGGGCGAGCGUUGUUCGGAAUUACUGGGCGUAAAGGGCGCGUAGGCGGCCCCUUUUGUCGCGUGUGAAAGCCCCGGGCUCAACCUGGGAACGGCGCGCGAAACGGGGGGGCUUGAGUUCGGGAGAGGAGAGUGGAAUUCCCAGUGUAGAGGUGAAAUUCGUAGAUAUUGGGAAGAACACCGGUGGCGAAGGCGGCUCUCUGGACCGAGACUGACGCUGAGACGCGAAAGCGUGGGGAGCGAACAGG
rnacentral:rRNA from 1 species